GCUUGGCAACUUACAGGUUUAAGAACUGGAAUUCAGAACUCCCCCACAAGUGCACAGGGGACGCACAGUAGCUGCAACAUGUCUGACACGGCACUUGUGCACUGAACAUCGAUCGUGGAGCACUGCAGGGCCUCACUGUAGGUCAAUAUAGCCUCCUGUCUCAAAGGAGAACUGCUUCCAAGACAACAAAGCUUUAGACAAACACACAGACAGAUAAGAGAGAAGCAAAGACCCCGUCCAUGAAACUGUGUUAUGAGAAGAGCCCUGCUGACAUGGGAGCAGGAACAUGCAUAACAUCAGUAAGUGCCUGCAAGCACAUGGGCAGAUACCAGAUGUCAGGAUGCCACCCCACAGUCACCGCCAUGGCUGGGCUAAGAGGAGCUCCUUCAAGCACAGCUCAUCUUGCACCUCUGUUUGUCAUGAAUUGAAGCUGAAUUGAUGAUGUGCUAACCCAGCAUCUGGCCACAAGGAAGUCUUUCCCCUGCUUGCCUCCAAAGGACCCAGGGCAUGUUUGCAGAUGCAAAGUUGGCUGCAGGAAGAGCUUUCUAAGAUGGGAGGAAAACAGACCACCUUUCACCCCAAACCCUGACUCUGCAAGGCUUCAAUAACUGCUUUAACUUGUGCAGAAGGCCAGAUGGACACAGGAUAACUUCAUGAACUGGAAAAAUACAAGCCACCAUCAAUAAGUCCUCACAACUGGGUGGAAUGAAUUCAGCCUCAAAUGAAGGUAUGUGGGGGCAAAAAGGCAAAAGAGGUCUUGCCAAUGAGAAUAAACACUAUGAAAAUGGA